UAUAGAUUGUAGCUGACUUGAACAGCUGGCUUCUCUAUUGGCCGCUGAGUCAGGUGACGUGUCUUACGUUGUAAAACCAGUCUCUGGAGACUAGACCAGCUGAGUCGCAGCGACGCCAUCAGCUGGUUUGAGUCGAGCCGAGAUGGGCUGAUU